rnacentral:tRNA from 1 species
UGGCUCAGUGGUAGAGUGCUUGCUUCAUAUGCAUGAGGUUUUAGGUUUGAUUCCUCA